rnacentral:rRNA from 1 species
UACGUAGGGUCCGAGCGUUGUCCGGAAUCAUUGGGCGUAAAGAGCGCGUAGGCGGUCCGGUAAGUCCGCUGUAAAAGUCGAAGGCUCAACCUUCGAAAGCCGAUGGAUACUGCCGGGCUAGAGUCCGGAAGAGGCGAGUGGAAUUCCUGGUGUAGCGGUGAAAUGCGUAGAUAUCCGAAGGAACAUCAGUGGCGAAAGCGGCUUCCUGGACCAGAACUGACGAUCAGGCACGAAAGCGUGGGGAGCAAACAGG